UCGGCCCCGGUUCACGUGAUGCCCAUUCGGGCGUACGACCCGGCGCC
rfam:Streptomyces scabrisporus strain NF3 contig1, whole genome shotgun sequence.